rnacentral:rRNA from 1 species
UGCAGUCGAACGAUGAAGCCCUUCGGGGUGGAUUAGUGGCGAACGGGUGAGUAACACGUGGGCAAUCUGCCCUUCACUCUGGGACAAGCCCUGGAAACGGGGUCUAAUACCGGAUACGACUGCGGAAGGCAUCUUCUGCGGUGGAAAGCUCCGGCGGUGAAGGAUGAGCCCGCGGCCUAUCAGCUUGUUGGUGGGGUAAUGGCCUACCAAGGCGACGACGGGUAGCCGGCCUGAGAGGGCGACCGGCCACACUGGGACUGAGACACGGCCCAGACUCCUACGGGAGGCAGCAGUGGGGAAUAUUGCACAAUGGGCGAAAGCCUGAUGCAGCGACGCCGCGUGAGGGAUGACGGCCUUCGGGUUGUAAACCUCUUUCAGCAGGGAAGAAGCGAAAGUGACGGUACCUGCAGAAGAAGCGCCGGCUAACUACGUGCCAGCAGCCGCGGUAAUACGUAGGGCGCAAGCGUUGUCCGGAAUUAUUGGGCGUAAAGAGCUCGUAGGCGGCUUGUCACGUCGGAUGUGAAAGCCCGAGGCUUAACCUCGGGUCUGCAUUCGAUACGGGCUAGCUAGAGUGUGGUAGGGGAGAUCGGAAUUCCUGGUGUAGCGGUGAAAUGCGCAGAUAUCAGGAGGAACACCGGUGGCGAAGGCGGAUCUCUGGGCCAUUACUGACGCUGAGGAGCGAAAGCGUGGGGAGCGAACAGGAUUAGAUACCCUGGUAGUCCACGCCGUAAACGUUGGGAACUAGGUGUUGGCGACAUUCCACGUCGUCGGUGCCGCAGCUAACGCAUUAAGUUCCCCGCCUGGGGAGUACGGCCGCAAGGCUAAAACUCAAGGAAUUGACGGGGGCCCGCACAAGCGGCGGAGCAUGUGGCUUAAUUCGACGCAACGCGAAGAACCUUACCAGGCUUGACAUAUACCGGAAAGCAUUAGAAGAUAGUGCCCCCUU